UACGUAGGAGGCAAGCGUUGUCCGGAAUUACUGGGCGUAAAGCGCGUGUAGGUGGUGGGACAAGUCUGCUGUGAAAGUGCCUGGCUUAACCGGGCGAGGUCGGCGGAAACUGUCCGACUCGAGGACGGUAGAGGGGGUGGAAUUCCCGGUGUAGUGGUGAAAUGCGUAGAGAUCGGGAGGAACACCUGUGGCGAAGGCGGCCCCCUGGCCGGCCCUGACACUGAGACGCGAAGGCGUGGGGAGCGAACGGG
rnacentral:rRNA from 1 species